CGCCUUCGCCCAUUUAGUACUAGUAUAGUAUGUAGUAUAGUAUAUUUGAACUUCCAUGGCAGCAUACACUGAAUUGCAGAAGUUUUACAUUAAGAUUAGAUAGAUCAAACGGAUUGACGUGAAGCAGACCGAGGUAGACUUUGAGCUUACAAAUGGCGCUUGAGCAGCCGCUAUUAGUCCAUACCUCAUUAAUGAUCUGCCUCCAGACCUUAUGACCUUAUGUGCCUAACCCACCCUGUCAACUUUCCCUGUGGGAGGAAACACGGAGUACCCGGAGAAAACCCACGACUUUCGGCAGAGCGUUGACUUACUCUUUUCACAUUAGGACUGGGUUCCAGUCACAAUGAGAAGUCCUCAUUGAGAUUCGAACCCGCGACCUUAGAGGUGAAAGGCAAGUGCGCUAACCACUUCG
rnacentral:lncRNA from 1 species